rnacentral:lncRNA from 1 species
GAUGGAGGCAAGUUUUCGAAGACCACGUGAUUCCAAAUUUUCCAAAAACAGAGGUAGAAGCAUCGAAAAUGGUCAUUUGGAACGCGGUGCAGAGGAGAUCCAUCCAACAUCUAGAGCUCCUGUCAAAUUCAUGCCUUGUAAAGCUAUCUUUUCCUGCGCUUGGAAGACUUCACCAUCAACGUCCUCGGCGCUUCAUCAGCCAUCUUAAAUUCAACAUAUUGCUCCUGCACAACCGACAGAAGAGGAGCAGGAUUCGUGUUCCUACAUACUUAUAUAUGUUCCGUUUCACAACAAUGGGAGGAAUACAAAUCACAGGAUUAUCUUCCAUUUUGGAGAAGGACAGAUACAGACCUCCUCCCACUUUCUCUGGAGCUGCAGAAGCUCUUCACAGCAUGCCACACACUCAGCAUGAUUUUGCAAGCAAUGCAUCAAUAAAACUCAAAAUAUCUCUAAGUACUAUAAAGAGGCCAGUGUACUAUGUGAAAGUCAUGGAGAGGCCUCCUGAGCGGCCCAACUACUACACUUGGACUCUUUCUCUCUCAUUCCACUCUGAGCGGAACUCUUCUUGCUCGCCACCGCCGCCGGCGAAGGGGAUCGAUCGGAUGGGAACGUCGGUGCAGGUGACUCCGUUGAGUGGGGCGUACGGUGAGGGACCCCUCUGCUACCUACUCGCCGUCGAUGGCUUCUGCUUCCUCCUCGACUGCGGCUGGACCGACCUCCCACCUCCAACCCCUCGCCAAGUACGCUCCACGCUUACUCCUACCUCCAACCCCUCGCCUAGUCGGGCCUCUUCAAUCUCCGACCACUUUGGAUUGCAGGUAAAUGUUGUGAAUACAUCAGGCGCACCAUACACACGGCAUAUAGCUACUGCAUCUUGAUAGUUCUAAU